AUACGUAGGGGGCAAGCGUUAUCCGGAUUUACUGGGUGUAAUGGGAGCGUAGACGGUGUGACAAGUCUGAUGUGAAAACCCGGGGCUCAACUCCGGGAGUGCAUUGGAAACUGCCAUACUUGAGUGCAGGAGAGGUAAGCGGAAUUCGUAGUGUAGCGGGGAAAUGCGUAGAUAUUAGGAGGAACACCGGCGGCGAAGGCGGCUUACUGGACUGUAACUGACGUUGAGGCUCGAAAGCGUGGGGAGCAAACAGGAUUAGAUACCAUGGUAGUCCACGCGGUAAACGAUGAAUACUAGGUGUUGGGGGUCUAUAGACCCUCGGUGCCGCAGCAAACGCAAUAAGUAUUCCACCUGGGGAGUACGGUCGCAAGAAUGAAACUCAAAUGAAUUGACGGGG
rnacentral:rRNA from 1 species